UAAUUCUUCUAGUAAUUUUAUUUGUAUAAUUACUUUGAAUAUGACUUUUAGAAGAUUAUGAUUAUUAUACUGUUUCCUUAACAAACCAAAGCCGUUACCAACAUGAGUUUAAGUGUUGAUUUGACUCUUCUACUAAUUUUAUUUGCAUAAUUACUUUGAAUAUGACUUUUAGAAUGCUACGAAUUUCAUUAUGAUCAUAUGUAGACUUAUUUUUAAGAGCACUCUUGUUUCUUUUCAAGAAUAUGAAAUAGUCAUAUGAAUCCUUUAAAUUCUAAGUUUAUUUAUCAAUCUAUGCAUGUAUGUUUAAUCGUAAAACAAACAUGUUUAAGGCAUUUUUGAGUUAAUUAACUAAUUUAACAUAUGUGAAUUUAUUUGUCAUUCCUAAAUACGAUUUUCACCAAUAGUUUGAAUCAAACUUAUUGUUAACAAGUGUUAUCAUCAAAAUUAAAUAUGUCAUUAUUUCAACAAAUGGUUCAUUAACUAAUUCUUUGUAUGUUGAAAUAAUCAUCAACCUAAUCUUAAAAGGGGUUUACGAAUGAAUCAAAAUUUCAUACAACAACAAACCAAAUUUGAGCUUAGCUCAAGAGAUUGUACAUAAAUUGGCAAAAACAUAAAGAAUUACUGAAAUGAUGUGGUAAUUCACAAUUUUUAAGAAUGUGGUGUUACGUAACUAGAAUUAAACUAUUAAAUAUAGUCAAGGAACUUGAUUGUAUGCGCCUGAUUGACUUUUAAUAUGAUCCACAAUUAACCGAGGUUAAAUCUACACUAUAUUUUAUCCUCUCUCCUUUUCAAAAUGACUUUCUAAUAUUUCUUUUCUUUGCUCAUUAAAAUGGCACAUAGACCUAUUAAAAUACGACACGCAAUGGUGAAUAUUUUAUUUUGGAAGAAGGGGCUCAAAAUCACAUUGUUAGUUCUUCAUUAAAAUCGUGGAAAAAAGUUUUAUUUGCACAGUAUAACCCAGCUACUCCUGGUGACUCUACACAAAAUCUUCCCAGCUAGCUCAAAAAUUAUCAUGCCCUUGGCACUAUCAAUUUAAUAUAAUUUGAACUACUUCAUUUUCAAUUAGGAAAGUUUCUUAAUUAGUUGUCUAUAAUAGGUCAUGUUGACUAUAUUGAUUUUCUCAUUAUUCUACUUUAUUUAGUUUUUCUUGUUUAGAAUAUAGGCUGUAAUAUAUAUUAAGAGGACAAUGAUUAAUAAAAUUAAGCCUUUACAUAUUUCUUUUUGGUAUCAGAACCAACUAAACCCUAGCCUCCAACACUGCCUUCACAAUAGCCUAAACCCUAACCCACUAGCCACCAGCCAUAGGCCAACAACAGUCCUGCCUCUAUGCAUUCCCUGUGCAACCCAGUCCAACCAACAAUCACCAGACUCAACACUUGUAACAUCCUCUUCCCUUGUGCAGCCACCACUGCAGUCACCAGCAGCCCAACCCAACCCUCACACACAGAGCCCUUGCACAACAAGUCAUCUCGUGCAUAACCAUGCUUUGUACAGUCCAUCCUUGCGCCGUCUAGCACCGUUCAGGCCUUGCACAGGCAAGCUCUUGCACAGUCGCGCAGUCUAGCUUCGUUCAAGCCUCACACAGGCCAACGCAUACACCAUCAAGCAGUCCUGUAGGCCAGCCCAUGUGCCAUCCAGUAGCAUCAUAGUCCAGCAUAGCCGCAUAUUCCAGCAACCCCUACAUCGUCUAGUAGUCCUAUAGGCCAUCCCCUGCACUGUCUAGUACAUUUAGCAGCCGCGCAAUCUAGCACAGCCACACAGUCUAGCAACCAGUAGCCCCAUAAUCCAACAACCAGUAGUCAGUAGUCUAGCGCAGCCAUCAGUUGCACAGUGCAAUUCAGCCUCCAGUCAUUGCGUAGUCUAGUGUAGCCAGCAGUAGCUGCUCGUGCAGUCCAUAUAUCGUGAAGUCUAUAUGUCUGAUAGUAUGACACUUUAAAAAAAAUAUAUUCUCCUUUGAUUUCCUAAGAUUGAUUCUUGGUGUUACGUUGAUAGUUAACCCAGUCAAGGAGGUUGCCCCAGCCCAUAUGGUUUUGUGCCCAACUCCUAUCUACCUAUCUUUUAGUCCCACGGACGCUAUAGUUGCAGGUACUCUUAUCGCUUUUCAUGAUAAGUCAAGUCACCCCACUUGAAUUCUGAAUUUUGGAGCUAAUAAUAACAUGACUGGUGAGCUUUCUACUUUUACCUCUUCUAUUAGUUUCAUAAAUCAAUCUGUUUGUAUUGCUGAUGGACCAUCUAUUCCCAUUUAUAGUCAGGGUGAUGCCCACUUUUCCACAGAUAUUACUCUUUCCUCAAUUUAUUAUGCUCUGAAUUUUGCCUAUAAUUUUCUUUCUGUUAGUUGUCUUGCAAAAAACCUUAAUUGUGCCGUUGUAGUCUUACCAUCUCGUUGUUUCUUGCAGGACUUGAUUUCGAAGAAGAUUCUUGGCAGGGGAUAUGAGAGUGAUGAACUGUACUACUUUGGGGAUCCGCCAACAUCUAUUGCUUUGUCCUUCAAUCUUCAAGC
rnacentral:lncRNA from 1 species